UACAGAGGUCUCAAGCGUUGUUCGGAUUCAUUGGGCGUAAAGGGUGCGUAGGUGGUGGGGUAAGUCGGAUGUGAAAGCCCCGGGCUCAACCCGGGAAGUGCAUUUGAUACUGCGAAGCUUGAGUGCUAGAGAGGUUACUAGAAUACCUGGUGUAGUGGUGAAAUACGUAGAUAUCAGGUGGAAUACCGGAGGCGAAGGCGGGUAACCAGCUAGACACUGACACUCAGAUCCGAAAGUGUGGGGAUCAAACAGG
rnacentral:rRNA from 1 species